rnacentral:rRNA from 1 species
CCUACGGGAGGCAGCAGUUUCGAAUCGUUCACAAUGGGGGCAACCCUGAUGGCGCGACGCCGCGUGGGGGAUGAAGGUCUUCGGAUUGUAAACUCCUGUCAUUGGGGACUAACGGCCAGGCUCAUACCCUGGCUUGAAUUAACCCAAAGAGGAAGCAGUGGCUAACUCUGUGCCAGCAGCCGCGGUAAUACAGAGACUGCAAGCGUUACUCGGAUUCACUGGGCGUAAAGGGAGCGCAGGCGGAUUGGUGUGUCAGGCGUGAAAUCCCGGGGCUCAACCCCGGGGCUGCGCCCGAAACUACUAAUCUAGAGACUUGGAGGGGUAAGCGGAAUUCUUGGUGGAGCAGUGAAAUGCGUAGAUAUCAAGAGGAACACCAACGGCGAAGGCAGCUUACUGGACAAGAUCUGACGCUCAGGCUCGAAAGCGUGGGGAGCAAAAGGGAUUAGAUACCCCUGUAGUCCACGCUGUAAACGGUGCGCAUUAGGUCUUGGAGCUUUCGAACGCUCCAGGGCUCAAGCUAACGCGAUAAAUGCGCCGCCGCGAGGAACGUACCGGCCGCGAACGGACGUUAAAACCGUUAAAAGUUAAGUUAAGUUAGACGGCGUUGGAGACGUUCGACCGACGGACGACGACGAGGGAGGAGG